rnacentral:rRNA from 1 species
AUUGAACGCUGGCGGCAGGCCUAACACAUGCAAGUCGAACGAGUGGCGGACGGGUGAGUAAUGUCUGGGAAACUGCCUGAUGGAGGGGGAUAACUACUGGAAACGGUAGCUAAUACCGCAUACCAUCAGAGGUGCCCAGAGGGGAUUAGCUAGUUGGUGGGGUAAAGGCUCACCAUGGCGACGAUCCCUAGCUGGUCUGAGAGGAUGACCUGCCACACGGGAACUGUGACACGGUCCAGACGCCUACGGGGUGCAGCAGUGGGGAAUAUUGUCCAAUGGGCGCAAGCCUGAUGCAUCCAUGCCGCCUGUAUGAAGAAGGUCUUCGGGUUUUAAUGUACUUUCAGCGGGGAGGCGUUACCCGCAGAAGAAGUACCGGCUAACGCCGUGCCAGCCGCCGCGGUAAUUC